GAGUAACGCGUGAGUAACCUGCCUUUCAGAGGGGGAUAACGUUCUGAAAAGAAACGCUAAUACCGCAUGAGACUACAGAGCUGCAUGGCUCAGUGGUCAAAGGAGCAAUCCGCUGAAAGAUGGACUCGCGUCCGAUUAGAUAGUAGGCGGGGUAACGGCCCACCUAGUCGACGAUCGGUAGCCGGACUGAGAGGUUGAACGGCCACAUUGGGACUGAGACACGGCCCAGACUCCUACGGGAGGCAGCAUG
rnacentral:rRNA from 1 species